UACGUAGGCAGCGAGCGUUGUUCGGAGUUACUGGGCGUAAAGCGUGCGUAGGCGGUUUUUUAAGUUUGGUGUGAAAUCCCCCGGCUUAACUGGGAGGGUGCGCCGAAGACUGGAAGGCUAGAGUAUGGGAGAGGUAAGCGGAAUUCCUGGUGUAGCGGUGAAAUGCGUAGAUAUCAGGAGGAACACCUGCGGUGUAGACGGCUUACUGGACCAUAACUGACGCUGAGGCACGAAAGCGUGGGUAGCAAACAGG
rnacentral:rRNA from 1 species